rnacentral:rRNA from 1 species
AAUUUUGGACAAUGGGGGAACACCUGAUCCAGCCAUCCCGCGUGUAUGAUGAAGGCCUUCGGGUGGUAAAGUACUUUUGGCAGAGAGGAAAAGGUAUCUCCUAAUACGAGAUACUGCUGACGGCAGUUGCUGAAUAAGCACCGGCUAACUACGUGCCAGCAGCCGCGGUAAUAUGCAGGGUGCAAGCGUUUAUCGGAAUUAAUUGGCGUCAAGCGUGAGCAGGCGGUUCGGAAAGAAAGAUGUGAACUACCAGGGCUCAACCAUGGAACUGCAUUUUUAACUGCCGAGCUAGAGUAUGUCAGAGGGGGGUAGGAUUCCACGUGUAGCAGUGAAAUGCGUAGAUAUGUGGAGGAAGACCGAUGGCGAAGGCAGCCCCCUGGGAUAAUACUGACGCUCAGACACGAAAGCGUGGGGAGCAAACA